UUGAUUUUCAGGUCACUAGGUUAAAGGUUACAGUGCCAAAAAAUGUAUUCACAUGAUGGCUGCCACCGCAACUGACAGCCCAUAUCGGGGCAUGCAUGUUUUACGAACAGACCUUGUUAAAUUGGCUGCUGAGUCAGGACAACAAUGAUGAGGAUGUGGUGGACAAGAAUGACCUGAGUACGCAGAAGCAACUGCUCAGCACAGAAGAUGACUGUCUGAUGAAAAGGCUCAGCCGUAUUACAGUCCAGUGAUGAGGGGGGAUGAUGCGGUCGUUCCAUGUCUUAAGAUCACAUCAUGAAAGACAUUUUAGCUGACACUUGGAAGGGAGAGAACUGAAGAUCUGCAACAGCAGUGAGCAUGAGCAUUGUUAUCGAGUUGACAUGGCAAUGGCAACAGUCGGACCCCAGGAGCCUCAGUCCAGGACAACCCUUCCCCUCCCCCCGACCCAUAGGUCCUCCCCUUUGAUCUCCUGCCCCAUAGCGUCAUUGAACAAUACCGGUCUGCUGGAAUAUCUGAGCAUGUUGAGUUUUCACAAGCUGUUCUCAACAACUGUCAUCUCCGUGUUGAUCGAUCUGCACUCGAGCCUGAGUAGUUUGUUAAGUUCCAGUGCCGAAGAAUAAAAAGUUGGAUAACUUGUUCCAUGCUUUGUGGGACUAACAGAGCAACAGCGAAUAAUGGGAGAAAAUCAAGAAACAGUUGAAGAAGAGUUAAAAUUCGAAGCAUAAGCUAUCCACGGGGGCUACUUCUGAUUUCAAUAGUUGUAGCAUAAUGGACCAUCCUGAUUUGUCCUCUAAUGCGUCCAAAAUGUUCAAAGUGAAAGUGCUUUUUACGCAGUUGCUGACAAAAAAAAACUUUGUUAUGAACACUCAUAGCAUGAUUAAUACAUCGGGUGUGGUUCAGGCGUAAAUUCUGCACAUCAUCGUUUACAAGGUGCUUAAGGUGCACCCAUCAGGGUUUGUUACGAUCACUUCACACUCCAAGACAAAACGGCCUCGCAUUGAAUAGACACUAGAUAAAGCGUUGAAAAAUGACAGCAGUUUUGUUGUGUGGUCCAGUAUGCCCUUUGACUUUCAACCCGACAUUAGGUAGAACUCUAACUAGGCCCUCAGCAAUAUCAGCGAGGCCAGCACUUCGUCUCACCUUCUUGAGCCUCAGCAAACAGUAUUAGCCAACAAGACAAAUAUCGUUGAAGUAAAUGUUGAUGGCAAUUCGCACCCCCUUCUUUAACAAAUACUACAACUCGCUGAAGAAAUUAAGUAGCAAGAGGUCUUGCAUCAGCCUAGCACGCCACAUCUUCUCCAAUGUUGGCUUCAAACACCAGAGCCUUGAUGAGUUCGACUUUUGUCCCAUUCAAUGCUGGACAUGGACAACUUGUUCCAGACGAGUUGCUGAAGUGAAAAAGAUUUGUCAUUAUACAGCAGAUAUAGCAGGCAUUAAGUGACUUUCUGUAAUUGUGACUGACCUCGAUAUGUUGCUCUGAAAUAAUGUGAACCUGACGCCCAAGGAGCAGUCUGUGAUUGCCAUUUAGCAGCAGCUGUUUACUGACAUGCCAGGUUUUGGGUUUGUUGACUUUGGCAUCUGGACUUGCACCAUCUCUGUCUGUAUCCCAUUAAUGGCAGCCGCAGCAUUAACAACAACAGAGCCUGUUCCUCCUGGUCCAGGACCUUUGGACAAAUGUUCAAAUAGUACUACCCACAGGAUGAAGCCACUCUGAAUCCGGGGCUCCAUACUUUCAUGGCCAGGGGCCAAGACUACCUCGUCAUUAAGCAGAGCACCAGCAUUGAUAUUGAGUUGGCCCAGCAACCGCACGAGUCCCGCCUGCAGGAGCCCCAGUCCAGAAUGACCCUUCCCCUCCCCUGACUUCUAACUUCUCCCUCUUGACCUCCUGACUCAAAAAUUCAGCAUCGUUGAACAACUCCGUUCUGCAGGAAAUUCUGAGAAUGAUUCUGUUCUGAACAAAUGCAAUGCCCACGUCAACUUGUCCACACAUAAGCCUGGGCAGUUUUGUUAAGCUAGAGUUCCGCGUGGGCCUGAGAGGGACGAGUUUUACAGACACGAAAAGUUAUAGCAGUAGUUAUGGUAACGCUAACAGUCAGUUGCUGCUGUUAGACAUCACAACAAAUAUCAUGAAGAAUAAAAGUGUAAUAACUUGUUCCAAUCUUUAUGGGACAAACAUAAGUUGAACGGGAGAAAAUCAAGGAACAACAAAAUCGUAAGCUCUCCUAGUGGGAUACUUCUGCUGUUGAUAGUUUGGACGACAGUAGGGUUACGGACUUCCCCAGAUUGUCCUCUCAGCGGCCAAAAUAUCAAUAGAACGGACUUUUUGCAAUGUUACUGACAAAGAAAGGCAGUAAUGACUUGGUUGUGAAUACCCAGAGCACGAUACAUCCAUGCUGACACAGAAAGACGGUAAUGACUUGGUUGUGAACACCCAGAGCCCGAUACAUCCAUGCUGACACAGAAAGGCAGUAAUGACUUGGUUGUGAACACGUCGAGCACGAUACAUCCAUGCUGACACAGAAAGGCAGUAAUGACUUGGUUGUGAAAACCCAGAGCACGCUACAUCCAUGCUUACAAAAAAGGCAGUAAUGACUUGGUUGUGAACAUCUUGAGCACGCUACAUCCAUGCUGACAAAAAAAGGCAGUAAUGACUUGGUUGUGAAUACCUAGAGCACGAUACAUCCAUGCUGACAAAGAAAGGCAGUAAUGACUUGGUUGUGUACACCUUGAGCACGAUACUUCCAUGCUGACAAAAAAAAGGCAGUAAUGACUUGGUUGUGAACACUCAGAGCAGGAUACAUCCAUGGGGUGUGCAUCAGACGCGAAUUCUGCAUAUUAUUGUAAACAAGUUGCUAAAAGUGAACACGUCUGGUUUUGUUAUGAGCACUUCCCACUCAGAGCCCAAAGGUCCUCGCAUUGAAUCGAUGCAAAAGAAGACUUUGAAAAAUGACAGCAGUUGUGUUGUGUGAUCCAGUAAUCCUUUCAACUCUCAACCUGAAGUUUAUCAAAACUCAAUCUCAGCCCUUUGCAAUAUCACACCUUGCAACACAGUGUACUUUGCCAUGAAUGUUUCGCGGUUUAAAACACCAAAAAAUUUCAAUUUAAAGUUUGAGCGCUUAACAUAUUGAUACAUUGCUAUUCUGAGUUCUAAUUGCGAUAUCCUAAAUAGCAAUACUAGAUGAAAUGUUUGGCAUAAAAAAACGGGUUUGUAAAGUAAUUUGUUACAGUGCAUAUUUAUUUGUCACUAAAAAAAAUCAGGGUUUAGUUUGCUUGUCAUUUCCUUUUUAGCAAACAUUAUUAGACAACAAAACAAACGUGGUUUAAGUGAAAGUCCAAGACAAUUCCAACCCAGUUUGGGCACAAAUACAACUAAUUAAAAAAAAAUCAGUUUGUCUUGCGUCAGCCUACAUGUAGUAAGCCUCUUAUAAACAUCCCCCAAGUUUGCUACAUCAAUGCUCCCAACAGCGGAGCUGGUCAUCGACACUUUGUUACGAACAAGUUGCUCGAACUGAAACGAUCUGAUCCAACAGAGAGCAGGCUCUGCGUGACUCGUCUGUUAAUGUGACUGACCUGGAUAUGUUGCUUUCCAAUAAUGUGAACCUUACUCCAGAUUAGCUGUCUGCGAUUCACGCAAUUCAACAACAGUUGUUGUCAGGAAUUUCCGGCUUUGGGAUGGCGAUUUGGCGUCUGGGCUUCAUCUCUGUCUUUGGCCUGGUCGCAGCAGAAGCAGCAACAAGAACAACAAUUAAGCCUGUUCCUACAGGAACCCAUGCAAUCAUAGAUCGGUACCUAGCUGAACAAUAGGCUGUCUUGUCAGCUGGGCCCAGACGCCCACUGACACUUCCGGGCCGAGGACCUUGGGGCAAAUGCUCAACUAGUCCUACCCACAGGGUGGAGCCACACUGAACCUGGGACUCCAUACUUUCUUGGCCAGGGGCCAAGAUAACAUCGUCAAUAAGAGGUCUUAUACUCACAAGUUCAAGCCCAGUGAGCGAUGUUCACAUUAUCAAACUCUGCAUCUCAAUAGAAACCCGCAUAGAAAAGCGUUGGUUGGUUUUUGAAGCAUUUUAACCAGCAACAGUCAUCAUUCGAGUUUCUGGCAUGUCUAUGGUAUGGAACCCUCAGUCUAUGAACAUCAUUAUUAAACAGCACAUGAACCAGCAGCAGUCAUCAUCUCAAGAUUCUAGUAUAUCCAAGGUACAGGUCCCGUAGGCUGUACAGAUCUUGCAGAACAAACUUCAGAUGCAAUUUGAGGAAAUGAAACCAUCCAAUCAGAAACACAGCCAGUUGCAGCAAUUGUUAACAUAUUGACCCCAGUCAAACCUAAGAAGCUCAGAGUUACAUACUGUUUUAGAUGUGCUAGUCUUCACAUACCUCCUGGUUUGUUCAACACUUACUCUGAAUCUUUGAUUGUUAUGACGACUCUGAAUCUUUGAAUGUUAUGACGGGUGAAAAUGAAUGACCUUGUUCAGAUCGAAAUGGCAGAAUGACACAUCACAACAAUUCAAGUGGAAAGCCACAAAGUCAUGUCAACAGCCACAUGUUGUAUGUUGCCAGCCAAGUUGUAUUAAAAAACACAAUAGCUUACGUUUUAUGUUAUAUGUGACCAACCAUGUUAUAUUCAUACAAAAACAAUAGUUUAUGUUU